GCCGCGCCGUAAUAGCAUAUCGAAUGCGCCAGUUCCCAAGGGAUCACUGAAGUAAAGUUGCGCGUGGUUGGUAUCCAGAUGGGUGACCAUCUGGGCAAUAGAAUCGACGGCCGGUC
rfam:Asian citrus Psyllid, Diaphorina citri - Florida Strain, whole genome shotgun sequence.